UGCAUGUCUAAGUACAAGCAAAAAUAAAGUGAAACCGCAAAAGGCUCAUUAUAUCAGUUAUGGUUCCUUAGAUCGUAUCCACAAUUACUUGGAUAACUGUGGUAAUUCUAGAGCUAAUACAUGCAAUUAAAGAGAAACCAGUAAAAUGGGAUCUCUGCUCUUAUUAGAUUUAAACCAAUGGGGAGUACUUCGGUGCUCUCGCAUUAAAUGGUUGAACUCUGGAUAAUUUGUUGAUCGCAUGGUCUUGUACCGGCGACGGAUCUUUCAAAUGUCUGCCCUAUCAACUAUUGAAGGUAGUGUCUUGGACUACCUUGGUUGCUACGGGUAACGGGGAAUCAGGGUUCGAUUCCGGAGAGGGAGCCUGAGAAACGGCUACCACAUCUAAGGAAGGCAGCAGGCGCGUAAAUUACCCACUCCCGGCACGGGGAGGUAGUGACGAAAAAUAACAAUACAAGACUCACAUCCGAGGCCUUGUAAUUGGAAUGAGUACAAUUUAAAUCCUUUAACAAGGAUCAAUUGGAGGGCAAGUCUGGUGCCAGCAGCCGCGGUAAUUCCAGCUCCAAUAGCGUAUAUUAAAGUUGUUGCGGUUAAAACGUUCGUAGUUGAACUUGUGUUCCGCACGGGCAGUGCCUAGGACUAGGUAACUAGGACGGUACGUUGUCUUAUCUUUCCAAUCUUUAAUCGGAUUUCGGAAAAAGUGCGUGAACGUAUUAUCGGCGUGUUCGUGUUUGUUUUUCUGUUCGGUGUGGUUGUGGUGUGCCGUUCGUUCGGUUGCAUUUUACAAUUCGCAUCGCAAAAUUCAAAAUGCGUUCACAUAAGCCCAUUUCAGUGCUCUUGAUCGAGUGUUGCUGUGGGCCGAUACGAAUUACUUUGAACAAAUUAGAGUGCUUAAAGCAGGCUUGUAAUGCCUGAAUAUUUUGUGCAUGGAAUAAUGAAAUAAGACAUCUGUUCUACUUUCAUUGGUUUUUUAGGCCAAGAUGUAAUGAUUAAUGGAAGCAGUUGGGGGCAUUAGUAUUACAACGCGAGAGGUGAAAUUCUUAGACCGUUGUAAGACUGACUAAAGCGAAAGCAUUUGCCAAAGAUGUUUUCAUUUAAUCAAGAACGAAAGUUAGAAGGUUCGAAGGCGAUCAGAUUCCGCCCUAGUUCUAACCAUAAACGAUGCCACUUAGCAAUUUGGAUGUAGCUACUACUAUGGCUCUUUCAGUCGCUUCUCGGGAAACCAAAGCUUUUGGGCUCCGGGGGAAGUAUGGUUGCAAAGCUGAAACUUAAAGGAAUUGACGGAAGGGCACCACCAGGAGUGGAGCCUGCGGCUUAAUUUGACUCAACACGGGAAAACUUACCAGGUCCGAACAUGAAUGAGUAAGACAGAUUGAUAGCUCUUUCUCGAAUCUAUGGGUGGUGGUGCAUGGCCGUUCUUAGUUCGUGGAGUGAUUUGUCUGGUUAAUUCCGAUAACGAACGAGACUCAAAUAUAUUAAAUAGAUGCAUUCAGGAUUAUGGUUUUGAAGCUUUGCAUGCGCCUGCUGUUAGAUGGGCUUGCGAUGGGGGCUUGCGGUGCGUAAAAAACAUCGCCCCUCUACCCUCGACCGUUUGAUGGUGUUGGUUGUUAUGUAGGUGGAGUCAUACCUGUUUGUUUGUCUAAAUACACAAAAUAGACACUUAGCUUCUUAAAUGGACAAAUUGUGACUAACAAUAAUGAGAUUGAGCAAUAACAGGUCUGUGAUGCCCUUAGAUGUCCUGGGCUGCACGCGCGCUACAAUGAAGGUAUCAACUUGUGUUUCCUAGGCCGAGAGGUCCGGGCAAACCGUUGAACCACCUUCUUGCUUGGGAUUGUGCACUGAAACUGUGCACAUGAACCUGGAAUUCCCAGUAAGUGCGAGUCAUUAACUCGCAUUGAUUAUGUCCCUGCCCUUUGUACACACCGCCCGUCGCUACUACCGAUUGAAUUGUUUAGUGAGGUCUCCGGACGUGAUCGCUGCGACGCUUAUUGUGUUGCAGUUGCUUCAUAGAAGUUGACCGAACUUGGUUAUUUAGAAGGAAGUAAAAGUCGUAACAAGGUUU
rnacentral:rRNA from 1 species